GGAGGACCGCGCACACGCGGCGAGUGCAGCCGACUUGAAAUUGGCGAGGCGAAUCAGCGCCUUUGGGGGUUCGACUCCCCCGUCCUCCG
rnacentral:tRNA from 1 species